UAUGUCAUCUUGUGGUUAUUUGAAGUACUGAAGUACUGACAGACCUAUAUCAUCUUGUAAUUGUUUGAAGUACUGACAGACCUAUAUCAUCUUGUAAUUGUUUGAAGUACUGACAGA